GAUGAACGCUGGCGGCGUGCUUAACACAUGCAAGUCGAACGGAAAGGCUCCUGCUUGCAGGGGUACUCGAGUGGCGAACGGGUGAGUAACACGUGGGUGAUCUGCCCUGCACUUCGGGAUAAGCCUGGGAAACUGGGUCUAAUACCGGAUAGGACCACAUUUUGGAUGGUGUGGUGGAAAGUUUUUCGGUGUGGGAUGAGCUCGCGGCCUAUCAGCUUGUUGGUGGGGUAAUGGCCUACCAAGGCGUCGACGGGUAGCCGGCCUGAGAGGGUGUACGGCCACAAUGGGACUGAGAUACGGCCCAGACUCCUACGUGAGGCAGCAGUGGGGAAUAUUGCACAAUGGGCGCAAGCCUGAUGCAGCGACGCCGCGUGGGGGAUGACGGCCUUCGGGUUGUAAACUCCUUUCGCUAGGGACGAAGCGCAAGUGACGGUACCUGGAGAAGAAGCACCGGCUAACUACGUG
rnacentral:rRNA from 1 species